rnacentral:rRNA from 1 species
UACGUAGGGCGCAAGCGUUUGUCCGGAAUUAUUGGGCGUAAAGAGCUCGUAGGCGGUUUGUCGCGUCUGCUGUGAAAACCUAAGGCUCAACCUUGGGCUUGCAGUGGGUACGGGCAGACUAGAGUGCGGUAGGGGUGACUGGAAUUCCUGGUGUAGCGGUGGAAUGCGCAGAUAUCAGGAGGAACACCGAUGGCGAAGGCAGGUCACUGGGCCGCAACUGACGCUGGAGGAGCGAAAGCAUGGGGGAGCGAACAGG